CCCAUUGUGCAUGAACUCAUACACGAGCAUGUUUCUUCCCUCUUCUUGGCAGUAACCAAGAAACUGCACAAGGUUUCUAUGAUGUAUCCUUGAGAGUAAUGUAACCUCGUUAGCGAACUCUCUCUUUCCUUGGUACGAGUUAUUCCCAAGAACCUUCACUGCAAUCUCUUUCCCAUCUUUUGUUAAACCAUAGUACACAAUUCCAAAACCUCCUGACCCAAUCCGCUUCUCAAACUUGUUUGUGGCUUCCUCGAUCUCGUAGAGUGUGAAGCAAUGCGCAGCGUCUCCAUGAGCUUCACUCAAGGUAGAUGACGCUCUUUGAACAUGCGUGGGACGAGUUGUUAACUCUGCUGAAAGUAAACCAAAAACGAAAAAGGUGAGUAACAUUAAUCCAAACACAAGAUGCAAAAGAGUAAAACAAAAUACCUGAAGUUUUCCUCAUCUUGUUAUCCUCCUUUAGUUUGCACAUGCACAUGAGAGAGAUAAUGGUGACGAUUAGGAGAACAAUAGCACCAACUGAUGCACCAAUGAUGACACCGAGCUUCCUCCCUUUAUCUCCACCUUCUUUAAGAUUAUAGUUCCCAGAGAAGCUGCACAAUAUACACACAUAGAAGAAAACAUGAGUGUACUGAUCUAGCUAAAAUAGUUUAACUCUGUACUUGAAUCAGACGAAAAGACUUACUUCGAGAUCACGUUCUUGGUCAGGCUGGAUGGUAUUUCCCCCGUUAACAUAUUGUUCUGCAAGUACCUGCAAACCAUCAUGCAAGUUAAGAACACAAUCAUUGUCCAACCACCAUAUCAGUUAAGAUCCUUUUCUAAGUUGCUUACAGUUCCGUAAGAUUUGGGAGCUUAGCCAACGAGGAAGGGAUCUUUCCGGUUAACCGGUUGUUCUCCAGGUGACUGCCACAUCAAAAAAAUUUAGUCCAUCAGCAUGUAUACAAAACCAAUAGACAACUUUGAUCCUAAAGAGAGUGUGUUGUUUACAUUAUUUUCAGGUUCAGACACCUAGAGAAGUCCGGUAUUGAACCUGUCAAAGAGUUCCCAUCAAGCAAUCUGCCAUGGACAAGAAGUUGCAACAUCAAUAACAGAGAAACACAUCUAUAUGUUUCUAAAGAUAACAAAAGUGAAGUAACUUACAGCUCAACCAAACCAGUCAACUGCGUCAGUUCAGAAGGUAUCUCUCCGGUCAAGUUCAUAUCCGACAGCUUGCUGAAGCAAUUAACAACAGGCAAAGUAAAAAAUAAUGAACCAUCAUAAGAUGCUCAUGCUUCAAAUAAAGCUACUUACACAGUAACAACUCUUGGCUGUGGAUCAGAACUGCAAGUCACCCACGACCACGGUGACGGUAAACAUGGGUCACCACCUUCUUGACCCCAUACAGUUGAAGAAUAUAGAGAUGCCAAAUCAGCCAUAACACUUGCUGCAAACACAAUCAACCACCUUAGAGACACCACAACACUAAACACUAAACCCACAAAAAAAAAGAAACGCAAAAAACUCACCAUCAACAGAACCAUCACUCUUCUCCAGGUACUUACUAAUCUCCAUAGCAUUCAGAAUAGGUCCUCUCGAGGAAUCAGCCGUUUUAGCGAACCGGAAGUUGAGCACAUAAGGAAGGGUUAUGUUUACAUAGCCAGGCUCGUAAACCUUGUACGCUCUCUGAGUGUUCUCCUUGACGUCAACAAUAGAUUUGCUGUACUCAGGAUGAUCAGGCAGAAUCAACCUGAACUUCCUCGACUCGUCUUCAGCCAAAUCCUCUAUCUCAGCGAAGUAUGUGAAGGCCCGGCCGUUACCAGGGAAGCCUUCGAGAUUCAUCCUGUAAGUUAAGGACCCGUUGGUACCCACCACAGCCGUCUGCAUAACCUUCUGUGGAGGUUUGUCCAUCACCGCGCCGUUGUCGAUAGGGGAUGUGGUUGACACUCUCAUGGUACCAGCAGCAACAUCCACGAGAUAGUUAGCUUUCUUUAGCAAAUCAGAUUCCCAUAUUCUGUCAUAUGGAUCAUCCGGAUACCUGCAAUCAACAACUUAUUCUCUCCGCACAAUGUGGACUCAAGAAGCAGAUUAUGAACUACUACCUCACUUCACAUAUAUUCCCUCCGUUUCAUUUUAAAUAUUGUUGUACAGUUUAAAUUUUUGUUUCAUUAUAAAUGUGUUUUUAUAUUUUCAAUGCAAAUAUUUGAUGGAUUUUCCACUUUUAUCCUUAUCUCUCAGCUCGUUAAUUAACAAAUAAAACAGUGUAUUCGUUAGGGGUAUAAUAGAAAGUUUAAUGAUUUUAUUAAUGUGUGGGAGUAUUAAGAAACACAUUAAAUCACUAUUAUAAAUGCAUCAUUUUUUGCAAUUAUCAAUUUUUUUCAUAAGAAACAUUGUGAAAUAUUUUUUUUCUAAAACAUCUAUCCAAGGAAACGGACUAACCUCACAGGAUCUUCAGUUUCUGCACCGAAGUUUAUCCGUGCGGACACACUGAGAUGAAACUUGUCUUCAAACUCAGUGAGAUACAUUGAACCAUUCAACUGUCUAAGCUCAAGAGUGGAUAUAAACGGCUGUCCCGUCGUGGCAUUGGACAAACAAACACUAACACUAGGACUAGAAGCCAGAAACACCAGCUCCGCCGUUUCAACCGUGGCGGCUUCGGAGAUAACGAUGGUCGUCCAAUGAGUUGCUCCCAGGGAGAUAUCGAAUUUGGGAUACACAUUGUUGCUGUCGAAGUUGCCGUAAAGGAAAGUGGCUCUCACGAGGUAACGGUUCCUGCUUGUGACGUUGAGAGUGUAGCAGUAUUUUCUUGAGUCGGCAGGGAAGUGUCUUAGAGUGGUGUACUGAGUCUUUGUUUCGUUGAGUGAAGAUAUAUUAGCGGUUGCUCCGAAGAGAUGGUGAUCAUCAGGUGUCCAGUUAAGUCCAAGUUCAUCAGUGAAUGGCUCUGUGCCUCCACAAUCCAAGCUCACAAAACCUGCCCCCAUCAUCAACAAUAACAAAAGUUUGAGUUUUUAUGUUGGAAUCAAUUUCAAUUCCUACAAAGAUUCCAUUUUUUUCUCAAAUCUCAACUCAGGGAACUAACGAAAGGCGAGAUUUUCAAAAUAAAGGAGAAACCUUACUAAGAAAACAUCAGAGAGUACUCAAAAACAGACAAUUACCUGCGGAUUGAGCAGAUGAAGAAGUGAAGAGACAAGUUGAAGCUAGCAGACACGACAAAAGCAGUGAGACUCUCAUCAUCUCCAGCUCGGACAUAACACUGUUCAACAGUUUUACAAAAAAAGUGAAUGUGAUCUCAGAAAAGUUAGGGAAUAAUUAGAAAUUCCCAGAAACAGAACCUAAAGUUAAGUACUUGUCUUAAACUCUUGAGAGAGAUCUGAUUAACACAAUUAAAACACUUAAGGGGGGCGUGGAAGAGAUGAGUUUGUUUCUUCCUCGUUAAGUGUUUGCUUUUCUUAUGUGAGCAGCUUUUGCACCGGAGUGGAGGGAGAGAGAGAAAGGUAUUAAAGGUGAAAUAUGGGGUCCAUCUUCGCCUGGACUCUACUGGCUUCGAGUUUUUGACAUCUAACGGUUCUUAUGGCUUUACACUUAAUUUAAUGGUCCAGAUCAUGUGUGGUCCAACUUUUCAUAACGUAGAGGAUUCUCAGUCCACUGCUGUUUCUACCAAAACGGUGUCGUUUCAUGUUUCCCGAUAAGCGAAUUUUUAUUAUAAUCUACAUGUUUGUUUAAGUGAAAAUGAUUAUUUUGUAACUGAGAAAAACGAUAAAUAUUCUGAUAUAUCAUACGCUAAACAUGAAUCUGAUUAAUGACAGAAAUUCAGUUUUUAUUCGGUAUAUUCUUGACUUUAUUCUUUAUUUUUAUUUUGAUCAAGAUACUUGACUUUAUUUUGUCACAGAUACAAAGAUAAGUUUUUGUUUUGAACCGUAUACGUCGAAGUGUUUUCGGUAUCCCAAGAAGAAGAAGGAAAUAAACAACAUUAAUUAUUCUCUUUAUCGACAUCAAAUAGAAAAGUUGAUCGUUAACUAAUCGACCCUAGUAGUGACUCAAACGAGUGGGACACACGUGACAGCAUUCCCAAAAUAAGUCUCCCACAUACAUGUUCUAUGGUUUUAUAAUGUUUGAAAUUUAGAAAACUUGAAAUUCAGUGUUUUCCAUAAUGUUUUAACAUAAUAAAAUGUAAGAUAUAACUUGAGUGAAAUAUUGUAGUCCUUUUCUAAUUAACAAUAAUGUAGACAAAAUGUACUCCUAUCAUCCUCAUUAGGCCCUGGCAUUUUAACCUGGAUCUGAAGACCCGAACCGAAACCGACCCAAAAAUACUUGAUCCGGAACCGGACCGAAAAUUUACAAGUACCUUUUGGAUCUAAAUUUUUUAACCCGAAAGAACCGAAACCGAAAAGGAACCGACCCGGAUAGAUCCGGACCCGAAGAACCGACCCGAUAAGAACCGAUUUGUACCCGACUUAAAAACAUGUAUAUCUAAAACUAUGAUUUUUUGUGUUCUAUUAUAUAUAUAUUAUUUUAUGAUUUAGUUGAAAUAUCUUUUGUGAACAACAUUUGUUAUUAUUUUUUAACAUUUUAAGUAAUAUAAAGCUUUAAAAUGUAAAAUUUAGAGUUUUUAAAUAUUUUAUUUUAAUUAUUAAUAGUUUCAUAUAAGUCAUUUUGUAAAAUUUUAGAUAUAUAUGACAAAUAUUCAACUAAGUUGAUGGAAUUGGGUAUAUCAUGUCCUUUUCAAAUCCUAAAUACCCGAACCUGACCCGGACCCGAUAUGGACCCGAAAAAUUACGGGUAUUUUAUGGGUAUUUUAAUUAUAGACCUGAACCGACCCGGAUCCGAGAAGAACCGACCUGAACCGAAAAUUUCUAAGUACCUAUUGGGUCUAAAUAUUUAGGACCCAAAAAGACCCGGACCCGAAAGAACCGGCCCGAACCCGACCCGAAGACCCGAACUGCCCAGGCCUAAUCCUCAUAUUAAGAAAUUGACAAAUUCAAAGUCAUCAAUCAAUGUUAUAAUUUUUUUGGCAAAUAAGUGGUAAAAAGAUUUUGUAGAUAGAUUAAAACAGAGCAUGGAUAUGUUCAAGACUUCAAGUUGUGUGAUCCUGUAGAUAGAUUUGAAAAAGGUUUGAAUAAGAAAUUUAGAUAUAUCAAUUAGGGUUAAACACCAGAAUUUAAUUAAUCAUUCCUAAGCAUGAUGUGAUCAAUAUCUUAAUUAUACAGAUAGUCAGAUUUUGUUCGGAUAUAGUUGAACUUGUUUUUUACUUUAUUUUCGUCAAGCUACUGUAUUGAAAAUUGUAAAAAGGCUAAAAUAUUUUUAUUUUCGAAAACGCCAAUAAAAUGCAUGGAUCAAUUAAAAGGUAAAAUAUUUUUUUUUGCAUUGAGACUAAUAAUACUCCAGCAACCGUCAAACAUUGAGAAGAUGGCACCAUAGGGUUUAGGAAGAUUAGACAAACUUGAGAUAUGAGUGUUUAACUGUUUUAUCGACUUCCUAAACCAUUGUCGCAUCGGCCAAUGAGCACUCUGUCUCUUGCAUUACUAAAAUGGAGUAUGUUUUUUUUUUUGGGUCAAAAAAUGGAGUAUGUUUCUUUUGCCUUUCCCAAUAGGCGUUAGAAUCUUCUCUUCGUUUAAGUACGUUUCAAACUCUAAUUGUAUUCGACGUAUUGUUUUUAUUUUAUUCAGUCGAAACUCCAUUUGUAUUUUCUCUCCAUUUGGAUCAUCUGUACUAAAUUUUUAAGAGGCAAACACUGCAUGACAAGAUCCUUUUAUUGUGUGAACACUCCGACAAAAACUAAACCAUCUCUUUGUGUAAACUUGGUGGUUUCUAUUAUGGACUUGAUUUAUGAAAAAAAGGUAAGAAAUCACUUAAAAUUAGGUAAGUAAUGGGGCACAAGGUUUCUAUGAUGUAUCCUUGAGAGUAAUGUAACCUCGUUAGCGAACUCUCUCUUUCCUUGGUACGAGUUAUUCCCAAGAACCUUCACUGCAAUCUCUUUCCCAUCUUUUGUUAAACCAUAGUACACAAUUCCAAAACCUCCUGACC
rnacentral:lncRNA from 1 species